rnacentral:lncRNA from 1 species
AUAUACAUUACCUUAUCAUUUGGCCAUUCAGCAGUAGCACAUUGCUGGUGACAGAGCGAGAGAAUGAAUGUCCCUCUUGCUCUUCAAGCAAACCACAAAAAGAAAAAAAAUAGAUAGAGCUGAGAAUUAUAAUAAACUAAAAGAGGAUUCAAGGGAGUUUUAUUAUCAGUCAAGAGUACAAUACAUGAAUAAGAGGGAAGAGGCAUAAGGUAAAUAGUUGCGGUGCUUGGCUACAGCGCUAUCUAUGGGUAGUAUAUUCUACUCCCAAUAUUAUCGUCGCUAAAAAAAUCUCGACUAUUCAUUUAAAAUUCUGC